rnacentral:lncRNA from 1 species
AAUACCCGAACCCGAACCCGAAAACUAAAUUAAAAUCCGUAUCCGAAUCCGAACCAGGCGGGUUAUAAAAAUCCAUACCCAUAUCCGUAUCCGAUCAAAAACCCGAAACCCGUACCCGGAUCAGGACCCGACGGAUUUUAAAAAUCUAUACCGUUAAAUAAAAAUCUAAAAAAUAAAAAAUUAUUAAAUAUUUUAUAUAUUAUAUAAAUAAAUAAAAAUAAAGUAUGUAUAUAUAUAAUUUAU